rnacentral:lncRNA from 1 species
CACCGCUCCCGGAAGCUCGGUGAACACGUAGUACAUCACGCUCUGGCCCGCCAUGAAGUGCUGCUCCGCCGUCUCCAGGAAGCGCUCCAGGUACUUCUCCAGUGACCCUCGCCUGCUCCUCCGUCACGGGAUCAUUGCAGCAGCACUCUUCAUGCUCCUGGUCACUUCCUCCACAACCCCAGAGUCAUCUCAUAACAAGUCAGCCUGCCUUAACAGUUUCCAUGUCACACAAACAGUUCUUAGACUAAGAGGAACUGGACACCAGGAGCCUCAUACCAGGACUGCCCAGCCGAGCCACUCGAUUCCUGACCCACAUGGCCCUUGAGAUGACAAGUGAUUGCUGCUUAAAGUCACUGAGUUCUGGAAUAAUUUACAUCAUGGCAAUAGGAGCAGUUCACCCAUCUCAGUUAAUCAAGCUCCGCGUCUUCUGCAGACUAAUCAAACCACUCAUGGAACCAAAGAAUGAGGAAAAGGCAGAUGGUAUCCCAGAAAGGUGUCUUCUCCAACAGCCAGAUACUUUUCAUCAGAACAGAGGCUGGUGUGCCGCUGGCUCUGGGCUCCUCCACACCCACAGGGCAGCACCACUGUCUCCAGUGCACACUGCACAGAAGCAGCUCUGGGUGCUUUGGUCAAUAACCCAUCUUCGUGGCUCGUGGAUAUUUCUUGUUAGUCUUAGGCUUCCAUCGUGACCUUUCUGAGUGCCCCUCAAUCUCAUUAACUCCCCUUUCAAGGCUCUGUCCCCAGAAAACAAGCUUCAGGUUGUGACCCUGUUUCCUCACAUUCAUUUCUGAUAC